rnacentral:rRNA from 1 species
AUUGAACGCUGGCGGCAUGCCUUACACAUGCAAGUCGAACGGUAACAGGUCUUCGGAUGCUGACGAGUGGCGAACGGGUGAGUAAUACAUCGGAACGUGCCCGAUCGUGGGGGAUAACGAGGCGAAAGCUUUGCUAAUACCGCAUACGAUCUACGGAUGAAAGCGGGGGAUCUUCGGACCUCGCGCGGACGGAGCGGCCGAUAGCAGAUUAGGUAGUUGGUGGGAUAAGAGCUUACCAAGCCGACGAUCUGUAGCUGGUCUGAGAGGAUGAUCAGCCACACUGGGACUGAGACACGGCCCAGACUCCUACGGGAGGCAGCAGUGGGGAAUUUUGGACAAUGGGCGAAAGCCUGAUCCAGCCAUGCCGCGUGCAGGAUGAAGGCCUUCGGGUUGUAAACUGCUUUUGUACGGAACGAAAAGCCUCUUUCUAAUAAAGAGGGGUCAUGACGGUACCGUAAGAAUAAGCACCGGCUAACUACGUGCCAGCAGCCGCCGUAAGAC